rnacentral:rRNA from 1 species
AGCGAACGCUGGCGGCAGGCCUAACACAUGCAAGUCGAACGAACCUUUCGGGGUUAGUGGCGGCCGGGUGAGUAACACGUGGGAACGUGCCUUUAGGUUCGGCAUAACUCAGGGAAACUUGUGCUAAUACCGAAUGUGCCCUUCGGGGGCAAGAUUUCUCGCCUUUAGAGCGGCCCGCGUCUGAUUAGCUAGUUGGUUGAGGUAAUGGCUCACCAAGGCGACGAUCAGUAGCUGGUCUGAGAGGAUGAUCAGCCACAUUGGGACUGAGACACGGCCCAGACUCCUACGGGAAGCAGCAGUGGGGAAUCUUGCGCAAUGGGGGAAAGCCUGACGCAGCCAUGCCGCGUGAAGGAUGAAGGUCUUAGGAUUGUAAAAUUCUUUCGCCGGGGACGAUAAUGACGGUACCCGGAGAAGAAGCCCCGGCUAACUUCGUG